rnacentral:rRNA from 1 species
AGGACGAACGCUGGCGGCGUGCUUAACACAUGCAAGUCGAGCGGGAACCUCGGGAGGGGUAACCCUUCCGAGGGGAGAGCGGCGAACGGGUGAGUAACACGUGGGCAACCUGCCCCGGACACCGGGAUAACCCAGGGAAACCUGAGCUAAUACCGGAUACUCCGGCACGAUCGCAUGGUCGUUCCGGGAAAGCUCCGACGGUCCGGGAUGGGCCCGCGGCCUAUCAGCUUGUUGGUGAGGUAACGGCCCACCAAGGCGACGACGGGUAGCUGGUCUGAGAGGACGGCCAGCCACACUGGGACUGAGACACGGCCCAGACUCCUACGGGAGGCAGCAGUGGGGAAUCUUGCGCUAAUGCGCGAAAGCGUGACGCAGCGACGCCGCGUGGGGAUGAAGGCCUUCGGUUGUAAACCCCUUUCGCCAGGGAAGAAGGAAACUGACGUACGUGGAGAAGAAGUCCGGCUAACUACGUGCCAGCAGCCG